UCCUCCGCCUCUCCGGAACCUACCCGACCUCAAUCUCUACUCUUUUCUCCCCCAACUUUUCCUCUCUGGAACCUAUCCCUCAAGCUCUACUCUUUCCUCCCCUAGUUUUUCCUCUCCAGAUAGAACCAAUCAUCCCAAUCCAGCCAGAGAACCAAUCAUGCAUCAUCAUACACAACAUCUAUUCUCAUGCUCUUGCGCCUUGUCUUAUGGCACUGUUUUUCAUCUCUCUAAGUAACUCUCGGAUCCGUAAUUCGAUUGCAAAAAGGAAUUAGGGCAUUUGAAGCUAGUGAUAAUUAGGACAUUUGAAGGUAGAGGAAGGCAAGAUCGUGGUGGCAGACAAACGGUUAUUCUGCAUUUGGUUUUUGAAAGUUAUUUGCUUUUCGUACCUAAUUUUUCUAUUUCUUGAUUCAAUUUUCUGUUGAGUUUUCCUUGCAAAAUUAGGUUAGAAAUUUAGGUCUGUAAGGCUAAUACACUGAUAUUAAGUGGGUUAUUCUGUUUGUCAUGAGUUUGGAUUGAUUUCAAGCAUUUAGUGUUAUACUUUUCCAGCCAAAAACGUGAAGUCUAAUAAUAUUUGCUAUGUGUUCGCUGUUUUGCCAGAAAGAAACUUUCAAAAUAUAGCUGCCUCAUUUGAAUAGCUGUUUAACUAGUUUUAAUAUUAUUGGUUGAACUUGAAGAUGCUUAAAUUAUGUGCUCCUAAAUAGGGCAACAUUGGGCGAUACUUGAGUGGUUGAUAAUUACGAAGUUCUUGGAUUCGGAUUCGGAUUCGGAUUGUGAUAAGAAACCAAAUAGAGUUUAAGAAACUUUAUUAGUCUAGUUUAAGCAUCUUAUUUUCAACUUUGUUCAUUCUUCAUUUGAUAGCUCUUGGAAUUUGGUUUAUUUGUUCUUCCUUGUAAUUGGAUUUUGGGGUUUUGUUAGGAAGAUAGAGAGUCAUACUAAUAAAGUGCAGUAACAUACUUACAGGAGGGUGAUAUUGUAUGAUUAUAUGUACUAUUGUGAGAAGAUUUGGAACUGAAUUGAUAUGUAUAGUUGUUGAAGAUGGACAUAUUGAAGUAGAAAUCGAAAAUUUUUUAAUUGAACUAUUCAAAAACUAGGAACUAGCACGUGUUUUAGUUCUUACUAAAGGUUUUAAAUGUUACAUCACCAAUAUGUCUUUACUUUCAACCAACUCCAUUUGCGGCAGAACUAAUGUGGCAUGGUGUAGCAAAUAAACUCAAAUUUAGAAUGUGUGACUCUACUAAAAUGGUUUAGAGAUUCAAUGAAAUUUAGUAAUACAACUGUCAAACCAAAUCUUAGUUUGCCCUCAUUCAUGGUAUAUCUCAUUUUUUGAUGUAAGUAAACUUCAAUCAUUCUUAUAUCUUUGGGACAAAGAUGCACCGUUCUUUUAUGAUUGUCAAGCACUGCUCUUUUUUGAGACUACCUUUUUUUCUCAUCUUUAUCCUUUUAGCUUAGGUGACUAGAUUUGGACAGCACAUAAUCAAGUUCAGUGGAGGAUCCUAAUGCUUAAAGAGGAUACAAGGAGGAGAAGAAGAAGGUUUGACCAACUUCUAUAACUGCAUUUUAUGUUAGUUAAGUACUAAGACCUAUGACCAGUUAUAAUAAAUUGAGUCCAUAACUAUAGUUUAGGUUUAUUAAUUGGAGCUAGUACUUAAUAUGUUUUUGUUGUUGUUCAAAUUUAACUUGAAAUGUAGUAAAUAUAUUCCAAUCUUAUCACUUGAAUGCUAGACAUCUUUGGCAACAAUUUAUUGUUUAGAUUUUGCUUUCUCAAUUAUUGGAAUGAAAUUCUAAUUUGUUGCCUGUCUCUAUUAAACAAACUCUUUGCUGCAUUUUCUUGAUAUCAUUGAAAUUACUUAACUUAUUUAAGUAAAUGUUUCAUGCAAAAAUCUGUAAUAUGGUAAGAAGAAUUCUAU
rnacentral:lncRNA from 1 species